CGAAGCCCGUAGACCAGAAGCCUGCGCCCGGCCACAGGAACGAAGGCCCCAAGCCUGGCGAGUCGCUGAUCGACCGGGGUCAGGCGCCGAUCUCCGCGGGGCUUGCGAGCGGGAUCGGCACCGCCACGGACGACGAUGGUUGUCCGGAGCACGGUUGCGGCGGGGCUGCGCCCACUGGAUCGGUGGUUUAAUAGUGCUUGAACCAUGAAUCUCUUUGGUUGCAUUGAAUUGUUCAAGGUUUAUGUUAUAGUUUUGAGAUUUCUUUUUAGAUUUGUGCAACUCCACUUUUGCUUGUGUAGUGUUGGGGGUUCUGGAUGUUUCUUGAACUGGCUCGGUGAACUACUCAUCUAUUCCAGAAUUAAUGCUGGAUUGUGUGGUUCUUUGUUUAGGUGCCGGAGAAAAAGCCCUAUCCUUUUCGUGACCUAACGUUUGAGGUAAUGUCAGUUUCAAGGUUGAUUGUCUCAUAUGGAGGUUGUCAUGUUGAUGAUUGGUUUCAUUGGCUUCGAAGAGAGACAGUUAUUGAGCCAGUUCAGUAACUUGACAUCUGUUCGAAGGCCAUACUCUUCACAGCCAGAAGUGUAUGUAGGAAGUGAUAAGAUGGCUUCUUGUGUCUUUUGCUACCAGUAUUUAAGUCGUGAAGGGAGGACAGAAGCUAAAUUUUGAAUUAAUAUUGGCAGGAUCUGACUUCCAAAAUUUCACUGUGAAUUAACUGCUGUUUUGCAGGAUCACAUCCUGGAAGUGACCUGCAUUGCUUGUUUUAUCUAACGAGCGAGUGAUUUGAUGAACCCUGUGUCUGGUGAAACUUGAUUUGUCUGGGAGCAUGUACCCAGCUGCUGUACUCCAGUGUCAACAGAGAGAUGUGGUAUGCUUGCAGUCUGAUUAGGAGUCAACAUGGCAGCUUUCGGUUGUGAUUCUGUGAUUACAGAAGGUCCAUUGCCAUAUUUAAAGGGGCUGAUCCACAGUGCGCAUGUUGGACAAGGUCCAUGGAUGGAUUUCUGGAACUCCAAGCUAUGUUUCUGAGCUUGAGCAACCAGGCCUUCAUUAUGAAACCUGGACAAGAGGAGGUCCACAGACUAACAGUACAUGGUGAAAAGGAUGUGCUCCAUGACUUAAUAGCGAUUGGAACAGGGAACUAGUGCAUGGGCAUUUCCUUGCAUGGCUGGUGACAGAAGUGACUUUCGGACUCUUGCAUGAUGUAACAGUCUCAGCUCGGCUAAAAGCACACUAUUUCUCUGUUAUCCAAUUUCUGAAGAACAAUACUCUCUGUAGGUAAAUAUUGAUCUUGCAUCUUACAUCUCCUCCAACUGCUUCUAGGCGAAAUGUAUCAGUACAAGUAGCCUUAGCUUGCACGACACUGAGUCCCAGCUUCUCAAAGGCUUCCAAAAUGGAGACGAGCAAUCCCGGGUAGCUCUUCCCCGAAGAGAUAUUUAUGAGGAACCCCUUCUGUAGGGCUUCAACAGUUACCUGCAGAGAUGGACACCAGCUUCAACAGUGAGUAAACCAGUCCCCCAAGCAAAGGCAAUGAUUGGAAUCAAAUUUACCAUAGGUAGUGUGUUGUCGUCGAUUCUGUUUUGUGUGCAUGCAAUCUCUCGAUUCAACUUAUCGACCUUCUUCUUUAACUCUUCGAUGUAUUUUGAUGCGUCCAUUAUGAUAGAUGUCUUGUUUAGCUGCCAUGGAAACAAAAAAAGAAUGAUUCAGGUCAUAAUUAGUGUGAUAUUCAGCAAUGUAAAACCAGUGUUCUUUAAAUUUUCCUUCCAUCAAAUUCUUGGAAAAGGGAACCAUCUCA